rnacentral:lncRNA from 1 species
GAGACAAGAUUUGCUAAAAGUGUACUUGUUUCAGCCUUUUCAUUUUUGGCAAACCUCUUCUCAAGGUUCUCAAGGAAACCCUUAGCCGUAGUCACCUUAUUGGACAUAGUGCCCCGGAAUGCUUCUGGAAUAGCACGUUUCAUGACCAUUAAACUUAUGCGGUUCGAUCGUUCCCACUUUUCCAUCUCCCUCUUGUCAUCAGAGGUACUCUUAUCAGUAAGUACAGCAGGUUGAUCGACCCGUAAAGCAAGGUCUAGGUCCAUGACUCUGAGAACAAUCAUA